rnacentral:rRNA from 1 species
UACGAAGGGGGCUAGCGUUGCUCGGAAUCACUGGGCGUAAAGGGUGCGUAGGCGGGUCUUUAAGUCAGGGGUGAAAUCCUGGAGCUCAACUCCAGAACUGCCUUUGAUACUGGGAAUCUCGAGUCCGGGAGAGGUGAGUGGAACUGCGAGUGUAGAGGUGAAAUUCGUAGAUAUUCGCAAGAACACCAGUGGCGAAGGCGGCUCACUGGCCCGGUACUGACGCUGAGGUGCGAAAGCGUGGGGAGCAAACAGGG